rfam:Picoides pubescens contig62735, whole genome shotgun sequence.
CAGUGUGGUGGUUUCUCUGUGUGGCAGAUCUGUACCCGUGUCAGAGCGGCCCGAGACCACCACAGAGAGCAGAAAGGAGAAGGCUGUGCUGAGAGCUUCUACAAGCCUGUAGUUUUCAGCACGUUGUUCAGCUCCUACAUUA